rnacentral:rRNA from 1 species
CUAUACAUGACUCUGCGCAUAUCAAUAAGCGGAGGAAAAGAAACUAACAAGGAUUCCCUUAGUAACGGCGAGUGAAGCGGGAAGAGCUCAAAUUUGAAAUCUUCAAGGUUUUACCUUGACGAAUUGUAGUUUAAAGAAGUGUUUUCUGUUGGAGUUUUGGUAAAAGUUCUUUGGAAUAGGACAUCAUAGAGGGUGAGAAUCCCGUAUUUGACCAUUAUUUCCAACUUUGUGAUACACUUUCAAAGAGUCGGAUUGUUUGGGAAUGCAGUCCAAAAUGGGUGGUAAAUUUCAUCUAAAGCUAAAUAUUGGCGAGAGACCGAUAGCGAACAAGUACCGUGAGGGAAAGAUGAAAAGAACUUUGAAAAGAGAGUUAAACAGUACGUGAAAUUGUCAAAAGGGAAGCGUUUGACACCAGUGUUGUUUUUCCGAAAAUCAAUUAAAAAUUGAUUCAUGCCAGGUUGUAUUGACCUUAUCAGCUUGCAAUUUGGUUUUGGGUCUCUUUUUGAUGCACUUUUCGGUUAACAAGUCAACAUCAAUUUCCUUUGCUGUAAAAAGGUAAGAGGAAGGUGGCUUCAAUUUCGGUUGAAGUGUUUAUAGCCUUUUAUCUCUGCAGUCGGGGAGAUUGAGGUCUGCAGCGUAGAUCCUUCGGGGCUAGAUACAUUUAUGCUAAGUUAUAGCUUUUCAUAGACAACUUGUUGACUAUGUUUAGUCAUGUAGCUUACUCGUAAGUGCUAUUUUACCUACGCUUAGGAUGUUGAUGAUAUGCGCGACACGACUCUAUACAUGACUCUGCGCAUAUCAAUAAGCGGAGGAAAAGAGGGCUAUUACCUACGCUUAGGAUGUUGAAGAUAUGCGCGACACG